GCUCAGUAACACGUGGAUWACCUGCCCUAAGGAAAGGGGAUACCCCUCGGGAAACUGAGGAUAAUACCCUAUAGGUUACCGAUGCUGGAAUGCUCGGUAACUCAAAGUUCCGGCGCCUUAGGAUGGRAUCUGCGGCCGAUUAGGUAGUUGUUGGGGUAACGGCCCAACAAGCCCGUAAUCGGUACGGGUUGUGGGAGCAAGAGCCCGGAGUUGGAUUCUGAGACACGAAUCCAGGCCCUACGGGGCGCAGCAGGCGCGAAAACUUUACAAUGCGGGCAACCGUGAUAAGGGAACCUCGAGUGCCUGUACAWGCAGGCUGUCUGGGUGUCUAAAACACACCCAAAGAAAGGGCCGGGCAAGACCGGUGCCAGCCGCCGCGGUAAUACCGGCGGCUCGAGUGGUGGCCACUUUUAUUGGGCUUAAAGCGUUCGUAGCUGGGUUGUUAAGUCUCUUGGGAAAUCCGGCGGCUUAACCGUCGGGCGUCUAAGAGAUACUGGCAAUCUUGGAACCGGGAGAGGUGAGGGGUACUUCGGGGGUAGGAGUGAAAUCCUGUAAUCCUCGAGGGACCRMRMUGUGGCGAAGGCGCCUCACCAGAACGGCUUCGACAGUGAGGGACGAAAGCUGGGGGAGCAAACCSUUUUAGUUACGGCGGGUAGUCCCACCGUAACGAUGUGC
rnacentral:rRNA from 1 species